GGAGACCUUACGGCCUGUGUGGGGGCCGGCAGAUAAAUGCUAUCCAGUGACCCAGCCUUCUCAGAGGACCGCCAAGGUCCCGAGCCCGCUGGUUGCUGCUCCGGAGGCCCCUGAGGGCCCAGUGGACUUCGUGGGCAGAGGGGAGCCGGGCCCACCCUCCAAGGAAAAUAAACAUGAGCAGAAGGCCGAGGUCUAUGGAGAGGAGCCCCCCGUGGACAGAGGACCUAGCUGGGUCACAUGGCUCCUUCGAGGGCUCUGGGUAGACUGGUUCUCAGCCCCCAACCUCCCCAAGACUCAGAACCAUUGAAGAAGGAAGGUCCUAAUAAAGCCUGGAUGGAAAUGCCA
rnacentral:lncRNA from 1 species